CUAGAUAUAAGCAAAGGUCUCAAAACAGGAUAUUUAUUAACUCUGGGAGUUAUUUUGAAAGUGCUCUAUGAGCAAA
rnacentral:tRNA from 1 species